ACGCCGCGUGAGUGAUGAAGGUUUUCGGAUCGUAAAGCUCUGUUGUUAGGGAAGAACAAGUACCGUUCGAAUAGGGCGGUACCUUGACGGUACCUAACCAGAAAGCCACGGCUAACUACGUGCCAGCAGCCGCGGUAAUACGUAGGUGGCAAGCGUUGUCCGGAAUUAUUGGGCGUAAAGGGCUCGCAGGCGGUUUCUUAAGUCUGAUGUGAAAGCCCCCGGCUCAACCGGGGAGGGUCAUUGGAAACUGGGGAACUUGAGUGCAGAAGAGGAGAGUGGAAUUCCACGUGUAGCGGUGAAAUGCGUAGAGAUGUGGAGGAACACCAGUGGCGAAGGCGACUCUCUGGUCUGUAACUGACGCUGAGGAGCGAAAGCGUGGGGAGCGAACGAGGAUUAGAUACCCUGGUAGUCCACGCCGUAAACGAUGAGUGCUAAGUGUUAGGGGGUUUCCGCCCCUUAGUGCUGCAGCUAA
rnacentral:rRNA from 1 species